rnacentral:rRNA from 1 species
GAUGAACGCUGGCGGCGUGCCUAAUACAUGCGAGUCGAGCGAACAGACGAGGAGCUUGCUCCUCUGACGUUAGCGGCGGACGGGUGAGUAACACGUGGAUAACCUACCUAUAAGACUGGGAUAACUUCGGGAAACCGGAGCUAAUACCGGAUAAUAUAUUGAACCGCAUGGUUCAAUAGUGAAAGACGGUUUUGCUGUCACUUAUAGAUGGAUCCGCGCCGCAUUAGCUAGUUGGUAAGGUAACGGCUUACCAAGGCAACGAUGCGUAGCCGACCUGAGAGGGUGAUCGGCCACACUGGAACUGAGGCACGGUCCAGACUCCUACGGGAGGCAGCAGUAGGGAAUCUUCCGCAAUGGGCGAAAGCUUGACGGAGCAACGCCGCGUGAGUGAUGAAGGUCUUCGGAUCGUAAAACUCUGUUAUUGGGGAAGAACAAAUGUGUAAGUAACUAUGCACGUCUUGACGGUACCUAAUCAGAAAGCCACGGCUAACUACGUG